UAGUGGCGAACGGGUGAGUAACACGUGGGCAAUCUGCCCUGCACUCUGGGACAAGCCCUGGAAACGGGGUCUAAUACCGGAUAGUACCUUCGGGCGCAUGCCUGUUGGUGGAAAGCUCCGGCGGUGCAGGAUGGGCCCGCGGCCUAUCAGCUUGUUGGUGGGGUGAUGGCCUACCAAGGCGACGACGGGUAGCCGGCCUGAGAGGGCGACCGGCCACACUGGGACUGAGACACGGCCCAGACUCCUACGGGAGGCAGCAGUGGGGAAUAUUGCACAAUGGGCGCAAGCCUGAUGCAGCGACGCCGCGUGAGGGAUGACGGCCUUCGGGUUGUAAACCUCUUUCAGCAGGGAAGAAGCGAGAGUGACGGUACCUGCAGAAGAAGCGCCGGCUAACUACGUGCCAGCAGCCGCGGUAAUACGUAGGGCGCAAGCGUUGUCCGGAAUUAUUGGGCGUAAAGAGCUCGUAGGCGGCUUGUCGCGUCGGAUGUGAA
rnacentral:rRNA from 1 species